CAACGUUUUAAAUUAAAAUAUUAACAAUUCCUUAUCACUUCAUUUGUACAGUUGUAGCUACCAUCACCGACAAUGUUUACUGGCUUUCGUCCCAUUCAAGCUAGUCUUGUGGUCAAUACUACAUGAAGUAUUUAUGGGUUUACGUCGGUUUAACUCUACAUUACCAGAUACAAAUACAUCUUUUCGAGAUCUUGUGGAAAGCAAAUUUAUGAAAGCAA